GAUGAACGCUAGCUACAGGCUUAACACAUGCAAGUCGAGGGGCAGCAUUGCGAUAGCUUGCUAUUGCAGAUGGCGACCGGCGCACGGGUGAGUAACGCGUAUCCAACCUUCCCCUUAGUAGAGGAUAGCCCGGCGAAAGUCGGAUUAAUACUCUAUGUAUUCCUUUGAUAGCAUUAGAGGAGGAAAAAAGAUUCAUCGCUAAGGGAUGGGGAUGCGUCUGAUUAGGUAGUAGGCGGGGUAACGGCCCACCUAGCCGACGAUCAGUAGGGGUUCUGAGAGGAAGGUCCCCCACAUUGGAACUGAGACACGGUCCAAACUCC
rnacentral:rRNA from 1 species